rnacentral:rRNA from 1 species
UUCCGGUUGAUCCCGCCGGACCUGACUGCUAUCGGAUUGAUACUAAGCCAUGCGAGUCUUUGUAGUAAUACAAGGCAGACGGCUCAGUAACACGUAGUCAACCUACCCUAUGGACAAGAAUAAUCUCGGGAAACUGGGCAUAAUUCUUGAUAGAUCAUAAUGCCUGGAAUGGUUUAUGGUUAAAAUGAUUCGUCGCCAUAGGAUGGGACUGCGGCCUAUCAGCUUGUUGGUGAGGUAAUGGCCCACCAAGGCGAUUACAGGUACGGGCUCUGAGAGGGGAAGCCCGGAGAUGGGUACUGAGACACGGACCCAGGCCCUAUGGGGCGCAGCAGGCGAGAAAACUUUGCAAUGUGCGAAAGCACGACAAGGUUAAUCCGAGUGAUUUCUGCUAAAGAAAUCUUUUGCCAGUCAUAAAACCACUGGCGAAUAAGGGGUGGGCAAGUUCUGGUGUCAGCCGCCGCGGUAAAACCAGCACCUCAAGUGGUCAGGAUGAUUAUUGGGCCUAAAGCAUCCGUAGCCGGCUUUGUUAGUUUUCGGUUAAAUCCAUGUGCUCAACGCAUGGGCUGCCGAAAAUACUGCAUGGCUAGGGAGUGGGAGAGGUAGACGGUACUCAGUAGGAAGGGGUAAAAUCCUUUGAUCUAUUGAUGACCACCUGUGGCGGAGGCGGUCUACCAGAACACGUUCGACGGUGAGGGAUGAAAGCUGGGGGAACAAACCGGAUUAGAUACCCGGGUAGUCCCAGCUGUAAACGAUGCAGACUCGAUGAUGCAUUGGCAUAAUAGCCAGUGCAGUGUCGCAGGGAAGCCGUUAAGUCUGCCGCCUGGGAAGUACGUACGCAAGUAUGAAACUUAAAGGAAUUGGCGGGGGAGCACCACAAGGGGUGAAGCCUGCGGUUCAAUUGGAGUCAACGCCGGA